ensembl:lncRNA CYP4F26P cytochrome P450 family 4 subfamily F member 26, pseudogene
GAGCUUGGACCAUCCCUAGCUCAGAGGUUAGGGGUUGUCUCUUGGUGACCUACAUGAAAAAAUAGGUCCAGAUCAGAGUUCCUGAUGCAGAGCACUCAUCCACUCUUUCAAUCGUUGGAGGAGAGGCCUGGUUUUAGGUAAACCUAACCUCUUUGAGGAACCACAGAGCCCAAGACUGGAAACCUUCAGAAUCUGCUGGCCCCCAACCCUCCCUGGGGACCCCUGUGGCCUGUCUCACCAGAGCACUCUUCUGUCUGUAGAUGUCUCAGCGGCUCUACAAGGGAGUCCCAUUUCAGGUGUGGGGCUGGGCAUGGUCACUCCUGCUGGAUGUCUAGAAGAUGGAAACUAAGGACCUAGGAAAAUGCCAGAUACAGCCUUUCCACCCUCAUCCAGAGCAGGACAAACAGGCCAGGUGGUGUCAGGAGCCCAGGUCUCCAGCUGGAGGGAACGUCAACCCUGCAGUGGGAGCAGGGGCCCAUCGCACAUCCUAGGCACAGAUGCUAAUGUAGGCACUGCAGCCUUACCCUGUAGGAAUUCUAGUGACUAUGUUGCCACCAUCUUGGAGCUCCAUGCCCUCAUAGUGUAAUGGCACCAGCAGAUCUGCCUGUGCAUGGACUUCCUGUACUACCUCACUCCUGAGGGGAGAUGUUUCUGCAGGGCCUAUGACCUGGUGCACAACUUUAGACACCAUCAUCCUGGAGCAGCACUGCACCCUCACUAGCCAGAGUGUUGACAUCCUCAAGGCCAGGGCCACAUUCAAGACUUUGGACUUCAUUGAUGCACUUGUGCUGAGCAAGCUUAUCUGAUCUCCUGGGAUCUCUACUAGGAUGCUGGCAGCCCAGCCAGCUGGUCUGGCCCUGGACGUGCCUUCAGGUGCUGGUUAUGCUUUAUGACCUGUGUUGUGAUCCUGGUCAGAGUAAAACAUUCCAUGGGAACUCGGGCUGUGAGAAACAUCCUAACCACCUGACUGCAGAAACAUCCUUAUCACAUCCUGCUGGGCAAGGGCCCAACAGCCUGACUUCAGGAACAUCCUUAUCAUCUUCUACUGAGCAGCAAGCUAUACUGUCCAGAGCCCUCCCUCCCAGCCCCAUGAUUACCCCAGCCUGUAAGUGGCAGUGGGCGCUGACACUAAGCUGGUUUCCCCCUCCGCAGGGUUUUGCUAGUAAUAAACCUGUGUUGCUGUUGAA